AUCGCUUCUUGGCCUUUUGGCUAAGAUCAAGUGUAAUAAAUAUAACAAAUAGAAAAUUGCUGCAAACAUGCUAUUCCUUAGUCCAAUGAUAUCAGUAAGCAGUUUAAAUAUGACUAGGCUGCACGCAUCAUUUAACACACAGAGAUUGUCAUAAUGAAUCGACUAGAAGAAGUCUCCACUCUAU